rnacentral:rRNA from 1 species
ACGAACGCUGGCGGCGUGCCUAAUCCCUGCGAGUAGAACGCACAGUUUAUACCGUAGCUUGCUACACCAUAGACUGUGAGUUGCGAACGGGUGAGUAACGCGUAGGUAACCUGCCUGGUAGCGGGGGAUAACUAUUGGAAACGGUAGCUAAUACCGCAUAAUAUUAAUUAUUGCAUGAUAAUUAAUUGAAAGGUGCAAUUGCACCACUACCAGAUGGACCUGCGUUGUAUUAGCUAGUAGGUGAGGUAACGGCUCACCUAGGCGACGAUACAUAGCCGACCUGAGAGGGUGAUCGGCCACACUGGGACUGAGACACGGCCCAGACUCCUACGGGAGGCAGCAGUAGGGAAUCUUCGGCAAUGGACGAAAGUCUGACCGAGCAACGCCGCGUGAGUGAAGAAGGUUUUCGGAUCGUAAAGCUCUGUUGUAAGAGAAGAACGGGUGUGAGAGUGGAAAGUUCACACUGUGACGGUAUCUUACCAGAAAGGGACGGCUAACUACGUG